GGACGUUACAAUAAAUUCUUCCCGAUAGGGUUUGCUUAGGCAAAAAUUCCUUGUAACCAUAAAAUUUAUAUUUUGGGGGAAACAACAUG
rnacentral:sRNA from 2 species